rnacentral:rRNA from 1 species
UACGUAGGUGGCAAGCGUUGUCCGGAUUUACUGGGCGUAAAGAGCGCGCAGGCGGUCGUUCAAGUCGCGUGUGAAAGCCCCCGGCUCAACUGGGGAGGGUCACGCGAUACUGAUCGACUGGAAGGCAGGAGAGGGUAGUGGAAUUCCCGGUGUAGUGGUGAAAUGCGUAGAUAUCGGGAGAACACCAGUGGCGAAGGCGACUACCUGGCCUGUUCUUGACGCUGAGGCGCGAAAGCUAGGGGAGCAAACGGG